AGUUAAUUACUAGAUAUUUUUUUUACCACCUCUGUUACACAUUCAAACAAAACCCCACUCUCAAACAUAACACUCUGUCUUGUCUUCUCUCUCGUCACUCAGGUCACCGGAGUAACCUCCGGCCGGAAAUCCAACGCCGGCUUCUCCGACAAACACACACACACCCCGAAACACUCCCCUCGUUCUCACAACCCUCAUUCUCCCGCUCGGCUUCUCCGGCGCCGAAUCUCUGGCGAAACCCACACCACACCUGCAAUCUCGUUCCUCUCUCCGACAACACCCACACACCCGGCCGCACCCCCUAUCUCUGCCUCUAUCUCGUUUUUCCGGCGAAGUAUUCAGGCGACGGUGCCGCCGUCAGUGGCGGCGGUGGUGCGAUCUUGCUCUCCGACGACAGUUAGGGCGGUGGUGGUGAGUUUUGACUCUGACUUCCGGUGCCUCUUCGUCUCCGACAGGCUCUGAUGUGGAUGAUGAUGAUGAUGCCGACAGUAGAACAGCAGUGGUGGUGUUUCUGUUCAGUUCGCUUCGGUUUGUUUCGGGUCCGAGCAAGAUAUUACAGGUUCUCGUUUUUGGCUUGAGUUUUGGUUCGGAUGGUAACGGGAUGGUGGUUGGUGACGGGUCUACGGCAAUAACAGUAGUGGUGGAUGGUUCAGCUGGCUCGGGGUUAAGUUUUGGCUCAACCGGCUCAAGUUCAGACAACAGCAGUCAACAAAAUUUCGGUUCAGGUCAGGUCAAUUUACGAGUCAACUCAGUUCAGUUGGGUGUGCUCGGUUCGGUUCAUGUGCCAUUCUGGUUCGGUUCAGUCAUAGCAUGGUACAACGGGUUCGAGUUUUGGUGACUCGGGAUCACAUCAGCAGGUUUCGGUUCAUAGUUCGGUUCGGUUCGGGUAAAUGGUUCAGUCAACUGGUUUCGGCUCGGGUCAGUGCGAGUCAACACAGCAACGGGUCAGUUGCGGGUUUUCGGCUCGGUUUCGGGUCUUGGUCAAAGGCAGUCAACGAGUCAAUGGUUCGGUCAAUUCAGUCAACGCAAGUCAACUCUGGUCAACCAGUCAACUGUCGGGUCAACUGGUCAAACGCAAGACGCGGGAUACGGUAGAUGCACGCUAGCUAAUACACGUUCUUGGAACGACACUACGGAAUCACACUAAGCUAGCUUUGCACAGGAAUAUCAAGGUUGCAUUUUUAAAACUAUGGAACGGUUGGAAUAGGAGAACCCAUGGGAUUUCGAGUACUUAGCAGGCGUUCAAUUUUUAGAAGUCUUAGCUUAUUUGCUUCCGCUGUGCAAUGAAGAUACCGGUCCAGUCACGCCAGCUCUGAUAUUUCGGGGUGUGACAAAAUCAACAUGAACAUUUGUUUUGUCUGGCAUAUAUCUCGAGAAUUAAGGACCUUAGGUACUUAUGGAGCUUGCACAAGGAGGAGCAGGUCGUUGUAGGCAAUGG